rnacentral:misc_RNA from 1 species
AAGUCGUAACAAGGUUUCCGUAGGUGAACCUGCGGAAGGAUCAUUACUCUUAGCUUAGGUUCUCGUAACUUAUUGCUAUACUCUAAACACCAAACUGUGCUCUUUCUUUCCCACCCCACUCUUUUACCAUAUUAUCCCAUUCUAUAACUGAAUACAUUGUGCGAAAGACAGUUUAUGACCGUCUGACACACAUCUGUACACCCCACCUCAAUACGAUAUUGAAUUAAAAUUUAUAUCUUAUGUGUUGUGAUGUACUUGUUGAACCACAGUAUGGUGCUCAGUUGAUGCAUACCUUAAUCC